UUUUUUUUUUUUUUGCUUUUUUUUUAUGGUUUUAGAACUUUACUGUAGAAAGGAAGGGAGGAAGGAGAGAAGGUAGAAAGAGAGAGGCCGGCUAUGGCCAUGUGGAGAGAGCCACUGCGAAGGUUUUGAUGUGUACUUUGUGUUUUAUGAGUCUAUAAGGUAGAAAAGCUGAGAAGAAAGGUUGGAAGAUUCAGAGAACGUCCAAGAGACUGCUGAGGGGACGAGGAUGACGGCUGCCUGCGAGAAAGGCUUUGUCUGCACAAUCCUUAUAGUUUCAGGGGUAGUGAGUGUAACAAGAGUCUUUACCAUUUUGAAGUAUAAACAUUAAGUUGAACUCGAGUGGCAGUGAUAUGGGGCUUCCUAUUUUUAAUUCUAUGCUUUCUGAGUUAUAUCUCUGUUAUGUGUAUACAUUUAUAUAAUAUUUAUCCACAUUACUGAGUUUUCAGACUAAGAAAAUAGAUUUAUUGGAUACCAUGAGUGAGAAGUCAUGGUGUAUAGUGAUUUGAAGUGAUAAUAACAAUUAUUAUUUUGUUUGUGGAAUGGAGCUGUUGGAUAUCAGUUGAAAAGAUAAUUCACUGCACAUAUAUAACAUAUUUUUAAAUGUAUGUAGUAUGUGUCAAAUGUUUACAAGUAUUUUAGUUAUGACUAACUGUAAGACAUAUAUAUUCUCAUGGUACUAUUGUUGUUGGCCUGAUCAUGUGAGACCUCAGUAUAUUAAAAGAACAGCCCUUAUUUAUUAUUAUUAUUAUUAUUAUUAUUAUUACUCAUGAGUCUGUAGUUUGGCAGGAAACUGACGUUAUAGGCUGGCCUCAAUUUAUCUCAGAUUGGUUCAUUCAUAUAUUUAUGAAUUGAUUGGCUUGCUUUUAGGUUAUGAGUCAUUUCUGGACUUGGCUAUUGUCAAGGCUUGUGUGAAGCCCUGCAUCCAUUCUCCAUGUGGCCCAUUCUGAUCAUGGUCCUAGUGUGCACGCAAAUGUGAUGCUCCUUACAGUGACAACAGAAGCACCAGAGAAUGAGGCAGGAAAUGUUGGCAGUGCAAUCUCUGCCUUCUUCUACUCUCAAUUGACUCCGAUAGCCAGGCCCAGAUUCAGAGUGGACCUUUUGUAUGCAAAGUGCUGACACAUGCCUUGGCAGGAAUCCUCAUGUGCUGGAGGGAAGGUGAGAUGGAAAUAAUUAGACCUCUAAUGAAACAUUAGUUUUUUGUGUUAGUCCAUAGAUAACAUAAUUUUUAUCCAAAGAACACAUACAUUUACUGUAUGUGUUGUCCUAUGUGGCAAGCUCUGGUAUAUUGUUACUAUUCUUUUAAAAACUGAUGGCUCCCAGAUGGAGUGUUUUAUGAAUUAUUUCAUGUUUAGAUGCCAUAACAAGCUACCUGAUAGUAGAUACUUUAUAAAGAAACUGUGUUUGGUUCAUAGAUUUGGAGACGGAAAGUCUUAGUUCAAUAUUGACACUGAUAAAGACACCACUUCAGACAGUAUAAAAUGGCAGAAACAUGUGGGGGAAAAAAUCAUAUGAAGGGACAAAAAAAGUGGGAGAUUAAGUGGCCCAACUUCUUCCUUUUCUAACCUCUUAACAAACUUUUAGCCCAUGAAUCCUUGGGGGACAGUCUCAAACCACAACCCAACCCUCUCCCAAAAUUCAUUCUGAAGUAGUAAAAACCAGAGUUUAACCUACUUAAAAUCUGCCUUUGUUUUUCCUAAGAUUGAAUCUAAAUAUGAAGACAUAGUAGAAAUAUUCAAUUUUCAUGAACAUGUUUGUACGCACACGUCCUUCUCCUGUUCAUUGACUCGCUCACUGUCCAUGUGUCUGCUGGUAUGCUCUCACUUCUGUUAUUACAGCAUCUUCAUGUUCAGUUGCUUCAUGUUUUCUGCUAAUCCUAUGACAUCUAUGAUAUACUGGUAGACUCUCUGAAAGUAUCUUAGGCAGAUGUCUAAGCUGGAUUUAUAGUCUUUAAAUUAUUUGGGAUCAUACCACUUUCCCACCUCUAAGAGAUGGAAAAGGGGCCUUCACUUCUACAUUUCCCAAAUGAAGUGUGACAGUCUUGCUAGUUCUCUAAGACAUGCCAGGUUCCUCAGACUUUCUCUUGGAACCUCUGAGGUCUAAGAGUUCACCUCUUCUCUUAUUCUACUUAUCUCCUAUUUCCUCUUCUUGUCUUCUAGAUUGAGUUGAGUCCUUCCAUCCUGGGCUUUUAAAAUUCUGAGUCUAGGGAAUAAGUUCUUUCUUUGAGUUUUUGAUUACAUUGCUUGCAUGAGCCAUAGAACAUGAAAUGCAUAACUGCUGCUUUUAAUUAUUAAAGGUGGAGGAACAAGGAGAUACCUAUGCUGCAUAUGAAGAAGGUGACUAGAAUUGUCAAACUAGUUUGCACCUAAAUAUCCACUUUAUCUGAAUGUGUUAAUUAAAUUACCUGGUCUUUGGGAGUCUAUCUCUAAAACAGAGACUUGGUUGCUUGGCUUUCACCUUGGGCUGGGAUGCAUGCGGUGGGGGGGGGGGGGGGAGGAGAGGAGCAGCUUUGGGAUGGUUGCUGUCCUAUUCUAGCCCCGUCAUCUCCUUUCAGUUUAUAUAUCUCACUCCUUUGACUGUUUUAUACUAUUAAUCCAGACACCAUUUUCCUUUUAAACAAAAUUUGCAGGGGCUGGAAAGGUGGCUUAGUGUUUAGCCACACUUAGGCAAGGGUGCUCUUGCUCUGGACCAGCACUCGGUGAAUAACACCCAUCUGUAACUUCAGAGAUCUGAUGCCCUCUUCUGGCCUCCAUGGCAGUGCAUAUAUGGGGCACACAAUACCAAUACACGUAAAAUAAAAAUAAAUCCAUUUCAAAAGUAAGUUUAAGG
rnacentral:lncRNA from 1 species